rnacentral:rRNA from 1 species
GACGAACGCUGGCGGCGUGCUUAACACAUGCAAGUCGAACGGAAAGGCCCUGCUUUUGUGGGGUGCUCGAGUGGCGAACGGGUGAGUAACACGUGAGUAACCUGCCCUUGACUUUGGGAUAACUUCAGGAAACUGGGGCUAAUACCGGAUAGGAGCUCCUGCUGCAUGGGGGGGGUUGGAAAGUUUCGGCGGUUGGGGAUGGACUCGCGGGUUAUCAGCUUGUUGGUGGGGUAGUGGCUUACCAAGGCUUUGACGGGUAGCCGGCCUGAGAGGGUGACCGGCCGCAUUGGGACUGCGAUACGGCCCAGACUCCUACGGGAGGCAGCAGUGGGGAAUAUUGCAGAAUGGGCGGAAGCCUGAUGCAGCAACGCCGCGUGCGGGAUGCCGGCCUUCGGGUUGUAAACCGCUUUCGCCUGUGACGAAGCGUGAGUGACGGUAAUGGGUAAAGAAGCACCGGCUAACUACGUG